GACGUAGGGCGCGAGCGUUGUCCGGAUUUAUUGGGCGUAAAGAGCUCGUAGGCGGUCUGUCGCGUCGGCUGUGAAAUCCCGAGGCUCAACCUCGGGUCUGCAGUCGAUACGGGCAAACUGGAGUGUUGCAGGGGAGACUGGAAUUCCUGGUGUAGCGGUGAAAUGCGCAGAUAUCAGGAGGAACACCGGUGGCGAAGGCGGGUCUCUGGGCAACAACUGACGCUGAGGAGCGAAAGCGUGGGUAGCGAACAGG
rnacentral:rRNA from 1 species